UUGACGGUACCCUACUAGAAAGGAGCCGCUAACUUCGUGCCAGAAGCGUCGGUAAUACGGGGGCUCCAAGCGUUAUCCGGUGUUAUUGGGCGUAAAGAGUCGUGUAGGUGGUUGGGUAAGUUAUCUUUCAAAUAUCUUUGCUUAACAAAGAGGAGGGGGAUAAUACUGCUCGACUAGAAUUUUCUCAAGGGAGAUCGGAACUGAGGGAGGAGUAGUGAAAUGCGUUGAUACCCUCGGGAACACCAGUGGCGUAGGCGGAUCUCUGGGAGAAGAUUGACACUGAGACACGAAAGCUAGGGGAGCGAAGCAGAUUAGAGACCUGCGUAGUCCUAGCCGUAAACGCAUGCUUGCUAGCUGCAUGAAUCUACCUUCGGGUGGUAUCGUGUGGCGAAGGUAACCCGUUAAGCAAGCCGCCUGGAAAGUACGGCCGCAAGGCUGAAAUUCAAAGGAAUUGGCGGGGAGGCACACAACCAGUGGAACAUGUGGUUUAAUUCGAGACUAACCGAAGAACCUCACCAGGGUUUGACAUGUAGCUGCACGUCUUAAGAAAUUAAGACUCUCUUGAAGGUGCUACACAGGUGCUGCAUGGCUGUCGUCAGCUCGUUCCGUGAGGAGUGCCCUUAAGUGGGACAACGAGCGCAACCCCUAUUACGUGUUAGAAAUGUCAUGUAAGACUGCCUUGCCAUUUGGCGGGGAGGAAGGAGGGGCAGACGUCAAGUCCGCAUGGUCCUUAUGCCCUGGGCUACACACAUGUUACAAUGAGUACGGCAAUGAGUCUGUCGCGAGCACGUAAGUGUAAGCUAAUCUCUUAAAUGUACUCUCAGUGGGGAUUGAGGUCUGCAACUCGACCUCAUGAACACGGAAUUGGUAGUAAUCGCGGGUCAGCUAUACCGCGGUGAAUACGUUCUUGCCUCUUGCACACACCGCCCGUCAAACCAGCAAAGU
rnacentral:rRNA from 1 species